rnacentral:rRNA from 1 species
UGCAAUGAGAGUUGUACUAAGGUAGCAUAGUAAGUAGCCCUUUAAUUGGGGGAUGGAAUGAAUGGUAUGUCAUGGAGAUACUGUCUUUAGUGUAAUUUGAUGAAAUUUUCUUUUAAGUGAAAAGACUUAAAUAUUUGUAAAAGAAGAGAAGACCCUAUCGAGCUUAAUUAGAAAACAAAAUUGAAGAUAGUAUCUGAGGUUUUGUAUUUUGAAGUUUUGUCGGGAGGACAGAAGACUAAAAGGAACGUCUUUUUCUUGAAUAUAGAACCCUUUAUGACGGGAAAAAAGCAGAAGUUACCGUAGGGAUAACAGCGUAAUAUCUUUCUGAGAGAUCGUAUUGAGGAAAGAGUUUGCGACCUCGAUGUUGGAUUAUAGC